rnacentral:tRNA from 1 species
UUAAUUUUAGGUGUUGAAUAGCACAUCAAGUUUUGGAUUUGGGGGUAACGGUUAAAGCGUUAAAAUUAAU